UUAGGAAAUUUUCCCAAUGGGCGCAAGCCUGAGGGAGUAACGCCGCGUGGAGGAUGACGGCCUUCGGGUUGUAAACUCCUUUUCUGGGGACGAGGAGAUGACGGUACCCCAGGAAGAAGCCUCGGCUAACUACGUGCCAGCAGCCGCGGUAAUACGUAGGAGGCGAGCGUUGUCCGGAAUUACUGGGCGUAAAGAGCGCGUAGGCGGCGCCGUACGACGGAUGUGAAAGCCCCCGGCUCAACUGGGGAGGGUCAUGCGUAACGGCGGUGCUGAUGAGUGCAGGAGAGGGAAGUGGAACUCCGGGAGUAGCGGUGAAAUGCGUAGAGACCCGGAGGAACACCGGUGGCGAAGGCGGCUUCCUGGCCUGCGACUGACGCUGUGGCGCGAAAGCUAGGGGAGCGAACGGGAUUAGAUACCCCGGUAGUCCUAGCCGUAAACGAUGGACACUAGGUGUGCGCGGUAUCGACCCCGCGCGUGCCGGAGCAAACGCAGUAAGUGUCCCGCCUGGGGAGUACGG
rnacentral:rRNA from 1 species